UCUUUGAUUGGUGGUUGCCAUGGCUGCGGGCAUUUAGCUUGGCAAUAUGGCGUCGGCGAGGCAGCGAAGGCCGCCGCUUUUUCUCUUCCAGGCUCUUCUGGGUUUCUGAGGCAGGCCGGCCCCGAGUAUGGGCUCUCUGUCGCCGCUCAGCUUCCUGUGGGGACUCCUCCUGCUGCAGGGCGUCCUGAGGCCGCUGCGCGGGGACCCGGGUGUGUAUGGCGGGGGUAUGGCCUGCAUGGCCCAGGCUGAGGGAAUCUGGCUCUUAAAGGGCUAGACCCGGGGUUCCUAGGAUCCCGGAAGCCAGGCCACUUAAAAAGCCAGCACACGCCCCCCAGGUACAGGUUCUGCACCCGUUAACCCCUCCCCGCACAUCCUUCCUUCCCUCAGUUUUCAUCCCACCUUUCAUCCGGAUGUCCAGCCCUGAGGUCCGCGCGACCCUGGUCGGAGGCAGCGAGGAUGUCGCCGUGUCUCUGGCUCCGCUGCAGGUCGAGGACGGAGUGUUACCAGUUCCUACCUGUGGCGGCCUCCACAAUGAGACAGCGGAUUGGAAUGUGACUGUGAGCCCCCGAGAGAACACGCUGGAAGUGACCAUAAGGUGGAAGAGGGGUCUAGACUGGUGCUCCGCAGGCGAGACGGCC
ensembl:processed_transcript